GAGGGUGUAGCUCAGCGGUAGAGCACAUGCCCAGCAGGCACAAGGUCCGGGGUUCAACCCCCAGCACCUCCA
rnacentral:tRNA from 1 species